rnacentral:snoRNA from 1 species
AAACCAUGAUUCGGAAACCUCACUAAAUAUAGCUUGAACCGAUCCCAUGCCUCAUGUAGAUGUUCUCCUGGUAAUUUCUUGAAAAUGAAAAUUUUAUUCCAGAGCUU